rnacentral:rRNA from 1 species
GACGAACGCUGGCGGCGUGCUUAACACAUGCAAGUCGAGCGGUAAGGCCCCUUCGGGGGUACACGAGCGGCGAACGGGUGAGUAACACGUGAGCAAUCUGCCCUUCACACGGGGAUAACUCCGGGAAACCGAAGCUAAUACCCGAUACGACCACCUCAGGCAUCUGAUGGUGGUGGAAAGUUCCGGCGGUGAAGGAUGAGCUCGCGGCCUAUCAGCUUGUUGGUGGGGUAACGGCCCACCAAGGCAACGACGGGUAGCCGGCCUGAGAGGGUGACCGGCCACACUGGGACUGAGACACGGCCCAGACUCCUACGGGAGGCAGCAGUGGGGAAUAUUGGACAAUGGGCGAAAGCCUGAUCCAGCAACGCCGCGUGAGGGAUGACGGCCUUCGGGUUGUAAACCUCUUUCAGCAGGGACGAAGCGCAAGUGACGGUACCUGCAGAAGAAGCACCGGCCAACUACGUGCCAGCAGCCGCGGUAAUAC